UCCCCUUACAAUCCUCAUCUCUCUCAUCUCCUCCUCUUUUUAACCAAUUAACCCUGCUCUCUUUCCUUCUCUGACCUCCACCACCACCAUCACAACCAUUACCACUAACCACCAUUUUCGUCACACUACCACCGACCCCAAACAACCACCAUAAGAAAAUCAACCUCUUCACCACCGCCGUCAGAAACGACGCAGGCGACGGGAUUGGGUGGUCGGCGACGGGAUUUGAGUGCCAAUCCAUCGAAUCGAUCUCAUCCUCUACCUCUAGAUCCGAGUUAAGCACGUGAUAGGAUUUGAUGGUCGGCGGUCGUUGAAAACCCUAGAUCUGAUUUCAGGUUCAAUCUAUCCCUAGUAUCUCUCGAUUGCAUCCUCUACCUCUAGAUCUGAUCCAUAAUCAAGAGCAAACGAACAGAUCUGAUUAAGGAGAUUAUUAAGGAGUUUGAACUUGUUUGCAACAAAUUAAUUGAAACUUAACUUGUCGUGUCAUCGAUUGCAAAACAGGUGCAGAAAAUCAUCGGAGCGAAGAACGGGCUGGUGAAGACGGCAGAAAACGAUGUAACGGGUGGUGGGUGAUGUAAUGUUUUUUAGAUCUGAGCUAUUGAGGAAAUUUAGUUGGUUUACGUAAACACACUCUAUUCGAUCCAUCAAGAAGCAUACAAGGUGAUGGUAGUGUAUUGUUAUACAAUAGUGUUGACGGGUCAUCACCAAAUGACCAUCCUGUUUGGACAUGUAUUAAAGAUUAUUCGUUUUGACCCGUUACUCGCUCGACCUUUUUGCCUUCAUUUAUGGAUAACGUGGAUAUGUCUCAUACCUUUUUUGUAUAAAUAGUUAAUGUAAUAAAUAGUUUUGAAAGAUGUAUAUUUAAGUAAAAUAAAAGUGUGGCGAUACUCAUCUAAGAUUGGAAAAAGCUACGACUCGCGGGUAUAUGUUAACCGAGCCUACUUGAGAACUUUGGUAUGGGCUUCACACCAAAUGCAAGUGAUGUUGCGUACGUCUGUUUCUACAAUUUGUAUGAUGUUUAGAUUUGGUACUUAUAGAAUAACAUGUUUCUUUAUCAACUAGGCACUUUUAUCGUCACAUAUGGACUUAUGGUCAAGGAUUUGUAAAGCAGUUUCAACAUGACAAAUGGACUACUGCUCAAGGCUUUGUCACCUAUCAAUUCUGUACCAAUCUGGUAUCUUUUGGCGUUUUAGGGAUCCAUACUUUCGGUUCAGUACGGUAUGUUACCUUACUCACUUUUUAUCUUCGAAUACCGUACCAUGCAAUUUUGGUAUCGGUGCAUCUCUACUGCUACUACAUCUUCACCGAAACCUAUACCUUUUUGGGGGUAUUAUUUCUUGGUUUUUUUUUUUUUUUAAUAUUUUCGAUUAAUGGUACUUGGGCACAAAGAAAUCAAUGAUAACGAGGUGCAUAUUGGGUGAUUAGUUGUAUUUUGGGACAUAUAAAUUUUAAAUUUCAGAUUGAAAUCAAUGAUAACUAGCUGCUGCAUAUUGGGGAAGUCCGUCCACACCAUUGAGUGGAGCCUGGAGGUAUGAUUUUAAUUACUUUGAUGAUUUAUGGCGAUGGCGUUAAUUUUUAUUAUCAAAAUGGAACUAAAUGAUACAUCAUGCUCAAGUGUAACAUGACCUGGAAUUCCAAAUGUUGGGGUUUGAGAAGAUGACUAGAAUAGUUCACUGGAAUGGUGGUAAAUGCAAUAUUUGGUUUUUGCAAGUUUUAUUUGUGGAUUAAUGUUGUUUUACAUGUUUGUUUGUUUUGCAAACCAUGAUGUAAUAUACUUUUAAGUAGAUUAUUUGAGGUGUAAUUGUGAAUGGUAUAGUUUAAAUAUUAUUGUUUUA